rnacentral:rRNA from 1 species
GACGAACGCUGGCGGCGUGCCUAACACAUGCAAGUCGAACGAGGUCCAAGGAAGCUUGCUUCCUGAAGACCUAGUGGCGAACGGGUGAGUAACACGUGAGAAACCUGCCUCGGAGUGGGGAAUAACUCGGGGAAGCUCGAGCUAAUACCGCAUACCUUCACAUGAUCGCAUGGUCGAGUGAAGAAAGAAUUUCGCUCUGAGAGGGUCUCGCGGCCUAUCAGCUUGUUGGUGGGGUAACGGCCUACCAAGGCAACGACGGGUAGCUGGUUUGAGAGAACGAUCAGCCACACUGGGACUGAGACACGGCCCAGACUCCUACGGGAGGCAGCAGUGGGGAAUCUUGCGCAAUGGGCGAAAGCCUGACGCAGCAACGCCGCGUGCGGGAUGACGGCCUUCGUGGUUGUAAACCGCUUUCUAGCAGGGACGAAAUAGACGGUACCUGCAGAAGAAGCCCGGCUAACUACGUGCCAGCAGCCGCGGUAA